rnacentral:lncRNA from 1 species
CUUGAGGAAGUCAUUUCAUUCCUUGAGGCCUUCAUUUUCUCAUCUGUGAAAUGAGAUUUGGAUUAAUGUUAUUUAUUAUAUUGACAAGAGUUCUGAAACUGGUGAAGCAGGGGAAUGAGGUGGAUAUGGUUUACUUUGAUUUCAGAGAAGACUUUAAUAGAGUAUCUCACACUAUUCUUGUUGGAAAAUAAUAGAGAGAUAUGGGCUGGACAAUAUAAUAAAAUUAGAUGGAUUCGGAACUGGGUGAGUGGCUAGAUGUAGUAAUGAUAAAAUGUUUCUAAUGGACCGCCGCAGGGAUCUGGGCUUGGCCUUGUGCAUUUCUAUCAGUGGCUUGGAGAAAGGCAUAAAUGGCACCUUUGCUAAAUGUGCAGAUAGCAGAAAACCAGGUGGGAGAGCUACUACUGGAUGGCAUCAUCAGUAACAAAUAAGAUGUUGGCCCAUUAGAGCACUGGGGUAUUUCUCCCAAGAUGAAACUGAAUAUGGAUAUGUAUUGGGAUAUAUCUAAGCAGUUGAAAUUUAACAUGAAUAUCUCAACACUUGGGUUCAAAAAAUUGAUUUCAUGAGUAGGAGAUGGGAGAUGUUAUGUUAUUUAGCAGAUUGAAGAAGAUCUGGGGCUCUUAGUGAACUUCAAGCUCAAAAUGAUAAUAUUCUAUUACAGAAGUUACAACAACAACAAGAAAUGUGGCUUUGGAUUGCAUUAAGAAGAAAGCAUUAUAUUUGUUCUUCUUGGCCAUUACAAGUCAGGGCUGGGAGCCAUGGAUAUGAGAUGCAGAUGGAGAAUGAUCUUCAGACCUGGAAGAGAAAACAAAAACAGCAAUUUGAUACCCCAGAUAAAGAGUUAGUAAGAGGGCACCUAGCUGCCCUUGAUGAAUCAAGUCACUUGGCCUAUGAACCACAUCCUCAGGUCCUGGAAAAAUGAAAAACCAGGCAGAUAUGAUUGCUGAACCACAUUAUCUGCCAAGAUUUCAUGGUUCCCAUGUCAUAUUGAAGGAUACCACAGUCACCUGAAAGGGUUUAUCAUAAC